rnacentral:rRNA from 1 species
GAUGAACGCUGGCGGCGUGCCUAACACAUGCAAGUCGAGCGAACAGACGAGGAGCUUGCUCCUCUGACGUUAGCGGCGGACGGGUGAGUAACACGUGGAUAACCUACCUAUAAGACUGGGAUAACUUCGGGAAACCGGAGCUAAUACCGGAUAAUAUAUUGAACCGCAUGGUUCAAUAGUGAAAGACGGUUUUGCUGUCACUUAUAGAUGGUUCCGCGCCGCAUUAGCUAGUUGGUAAGGUAACGGCUUACCAAGGCGACGAUGCGUAGCCGAACUGAGAGGGUGAUCGGCCACACUGGAACUGAGACACGGUCCAGACUCCUACGGGAGGCAGCAGUAGGGAAUCUUGCGCAAUGGGCGAAAGCCUGACGGAGCAACGCCGCGUGAGUGAUGAAGGUCUUCGGGUCGUAAAGCUCUGUUAUUAGGGAAGAACAGAUGUGGAAGUAACUAUGGACGUAUUGACGGUACCUAAUCAAAAAGCAACGGCUAACUACGUG